rnacentral:lncRNA from 1 species
GCUGAUGUAGAUCCUCUUCUUGGUGCUCGACUGUCCCAACUUGAAGCUGAAGAAGCUGCCUUGGAUGCAUAGGUCAUUGGCCAUAACAGUGUUUGCCCCAGUGUUGUCUUAUUUCAUCAUUACCAGCAUCGCCAAAACCUUAAGUGUUGACUCUUUGAUCACAGGCCCAAGAGGCCUUUACCUUUCUUGGCCUGUGGAGUAAAUAGACAAUAUAUUAUGAAAGGACUUGUAUGUACCCUUUCUGUUUACAAUGAGAUGUUUAGGUUUCUUAAUUUUGAACAAAUUCAAUUUACCAAAUAUUCCAGAACACUUGAUUUCUUCUUUUUCUUUGAUUUGUUUCUUAUCUAUUCAUUGUCUGUGUCUUACUUUUUUCAUAGUAAGAUUGUUCUUGAAAAAUGAAACUUCUAGGCUUUCUAAAAGG